rnacentral:rRNA from 1 species
GAUGAACGCUGGCGGCGGGCCUAACACAUGCAAGUCGAACGGAAGCGCAGUAAGAGCGUGCUCUUACGGGUGGCGAGAGGGGGAAGGGUGAGGAAAGCAUCGGAAUCUAGUUUUUCGGGGGGGAUAAGGAAGGGGAACUUACGAUAAUACAGGAUCUGACGUAGGGGGGAAAGGGGGGGAACGUCGGACCUGGCGGGAAUGAAGGAGCCGCUGACGGAUUAGCUAGUGGGGGGGGUAAUGGCCAACGAAGGCGAGGAUAGGCAGCCGAACAGAGAGGAGGAUCGCCCACAUCGGAACUUAGCCACGGUCCAGACUCCUACGGGAGGCAGCAGUCGGGAAUAUUGGACAAUGGUCGCAAGCCUGAUCCAGCCAUACCGCGUGGGUGAAGAAGGCCUUCGGGUCGUAAAGCCCUCUUGUUGGUAAAGAACAGCAGCCGGUUGAUACCCCGCUGUUCUGACGGUACCCAAAGAAUAAGCACCGGCUAACUUCGUG